CCGCCUGGGGAGUACGGCCGCAAGGUUAAAACUCAAAUGAAUUGACGGGGGCCCGCACAAGCGGUGGAGCAUGUGGUUUAAUUCGAUGCAACGCGAAGAACCUUACCUGGUCUUGACAUCCACGGAACUUUCCAGAGAUGGAUUGGUGCCUUCGGGAACCGUGAGACAGGUGCUGCAUGGCUGUCGUCAGCUCGUGUUGUGAAAUGUUGGGUUAAGUCCCGCAACGAGCGCAACCCUUAUCCUUUGUUGCCAGCGAUUCGGUCGGGAACUCAAAGGAGACUGCCAGUGAUAAACUGGAGGAAGGUGGGGAUGACGUCAAGUCAUCAUGGCCCUUACGACCAGGGCUACACACGUGCUACAAUGGCGCAUACAAAGAGAAGCGACCU
rnacentral:rRNA from 1 species